GAUGAACGCUGGCGGCGUGCCUAAUACAUGCAAGUCGAGCGAACAGACGAGGAGCUUGCUCCUCUGACGUUAGCGGCGGACGGGUGAGUAACACGUGGUUAACCUAUCUAUAAGACUGGGAUAACUUCGGGAAACCGGAGCUAAUACCGGAUAAUAUAUUGAACCGCAUGGUUCAAUAGUGAAAGACGGUUUUGCUGUCACUUAUAGAUGGAUCCGCGCCGCAUUAGCUAGUUGGUAAGGUAACGGCUUACCAAGGCAACGAUGCGUAGCCGACCUGAGAGGGUGAUCGGCCACACUGGAACUGAGACACGGUCCAGACUCCUACGGGAGGCAGCAGUAGGGAAUCUUCCGCAAUGGGCGAAAGCCUGACGGAGCAACGCCGCGUGAGUGAUGAAGGUCUUCGGAUCGUAAAACUCUGUUAUUAGGGAAGAACAAAUGUGUAAGUAACUAUGCACGUCUUGACGGUACCUAAUCAGAAAGCCACGGCUAACUACGUG
rnacentral:rRNA from 1 species